rnacentral:rRNA from 1 species
GACGAACCGUGCGAACGUUGUUCGGAUUCACUGGGCUUAAAGGGCGCGUAGGCGGGCUCGCUAGUCUGUGGUGAAAGCCCCCGGCUCAACCGGGGAAGUGCCGUGGAUACUGCGAGCCUGGAGGAGGUAGGGGCGUCUGGAACGCUGGGUGGAGCGGUGAAAUGCGUUGAUAUCCAGCGGAACUCCGGUGGCGAAGGCGAGCGCUGGACCCUUCUGACGCUGAGGCGCGAAAGCCAGGGGAGCAAAGCGGG